CACGGGAAAUGGUCGGGAUAGCUCAGUUC
rnacentral:tRNA from 1 species